UAAGGAAUAUUGGGCAAUGGAGGCAACUCUGACCCAGCCAUGCCGCGUGCAGGACUAAGGCCCUAUGGGUCGUAAACUGCUUUUGUACGGGAAUAAUUGUCAAUACGUGUAUUGGCUUGAAGGUACCGUAAGAAUAAGGAUCGGCUAACUCCGUGCCAGCAGCCGCGGUAAUACGGAGGAUCCAAGCGUUAUCCGGAUUCACUGGGUUUAAAGGGUGCGUAGGCGGAUUGAUAAGUCAGUGGUGAAAUCCUGCAGCUUAACUGCAGAACUGCCAUUGAUACUGUUAGUCUUGAAUUUGAUUGAAGUGGCUGGAAUGUGUCAUGUAGCGGUGAAAUGCUUAGAUAUGACACAGAACACCGACAGCGAAGGCAGGUCACUAAGUCAACAUUGACGCUGAGGC
rnacentral:rRNA from 1 species